AGUGAACGCUGGCGGCAGGCCUUACACAUGCAAGUCGAACGGCAACACAGUAUGCGCUUGCCUUAACGGGUGCCAAGUGGCGGAUGGGUGAUCAAAACAUGCGUAGUAAUUUUUUCGAGGGAGUCAACGUAGGGACAAUUACGCCAAUACCGCAUACGACGUAAGGGUGAGAGCAGGGGAUCUUCGGCUAUUGCGCGGUUGAAUGAGCCGAUGUCGGAUUAGUUAGUUGGCGGGGUAAAGGCCCACCAAGGCGACGAUCCGUAGCUGGUCUGAGAGGAUGAUCAGCCACACUGGAACUGAGACACGGUCCAGACUCCUACGGGAGGCAGCAGUGGGGAAUAUUGGACAAUGGGCGCAAGCCUGAUCCAGCCAUGCCGCGUGGGUGAAGAAGGCCUUCGGGUUGUAAAGCCCUUUUGUAGGGAAAGAAAAGCAGCAGGUUAAUACCCCGCUGUUCUGACGGUACCCAAAGAAUAAGCACCGGCUAACUUCGUG
rnacentral:rRNA from 1 species